AACGAACGCUGGCGGCAGGCCUAACACAUGCAAGUCGAACGCCGUAGCAAUACGGAGUGGCAGACGGGUGAGUAACACGUGGGAACGUACCCUUCGGUUCGGAAUAACUCAGGGAAACGUUAGAGCUAAUACCGGAUACGUCCGAGAGGAGAAAGAUUUAUCGCCGAGGGAUCGGCCCGCGUCUGAUUAGCUUGUUGGUGAGGUAACGGCUCACCAAGGCGACGAUCAGUAGCUGGCUGAGAGGAUGAUCAGCCACCAUUGGGUACGUGAGAC
rnacentral:rRNA from 1 species